rnacentral:misc_RNA from 1 species
GUCAGACCCAAUUACAUAUAAGAACUUAAUUUAAAGACAGAAAAAGAACUUAAUCCAUGUAUAAUAUUGCCAGCAUCAAACACCCAUCUUUUUCUUUUUACUGAGAAAAGCCGAAAAUUGUUAUUCAUGGCAAUUUUGCUCUCAAAAGUCUUUAUUGCCCUGUCAAAAUAUUACAGCUGAAUAAAGUUUGCAUGGCUCAUCAUGGAAUUGAAACAAAACCUAAUAGCCCAAUACAAUAUUACUUCAUAAAUAAUUUGAAGCAUCACAAUACACAUUGUCUUGGUGUCUCUGCAAAGGCCUGGGAGCUCUACUAAAAUAUCCAAAUAAUUUCAGUAGUGCUAUUUCUGAUUCUAGUUCAAGAGCAACGAUCAUCUAAUAACAGGAAAGAAAAAGAUCCACAGAAAACACUCCAAAAGUGAAGAUUUUUUUUCUUUUGUCCCUUUUCUUCCUCAAGGGAAGGGGAAAAUGACAACAAAGUGAACAAGUUGCCACAAUAACUAUGAUGUGUCCAGUUAGUCAGCCAGGCAAAAAGUGUGGCUCAGGUUGAGUUGUGGACAUCUACCACAACAAUUAAUCAACCAGGCACGUGAUGCUGGAGAAAUAUGUCAGUAAUCAAGUUAUAGUAAAUGAUGUGAAUUUAAUAUGUUGAAGACAUCAAGUGAAGCUCCAAAUCAGGAAAGAUAAAUAAAGCCUUUGUUAGUGGAAUUAUUUAAUUGGCACUAAUGGAACUCCAGUGAAACCACCCUAUAUUCAUUCUUGACAGAAAUUUCUCGUCAAUUGUCAUAAAGAUAGAACAAAAAUGCAACAGAAAUGCUUUCUCACAAAUGCAACCAAAGUUCACUACCAACUCCAGCAUUUGAGAACCUCUCUUAGCAUUACUAGGUUAAUUUAAAGGUAUACCACCACGCACGAGCAGACUAACGAAUUGGACAUUCUCUCAGCACAUAAAAAUAAAACCUAAUCAAUCUCCAUACCAGAAACGGCCUCAUCUAAAAUCUUUUUAAGUUCCUUCACUCUUUGCCUUGUUAAUGCAACACAAUCCUGAACAGCUGAUGUAUAGGCAAGAACUGGUCCACCUGGCUUGUAAAAGGACACAAGUCUAGAAGAUGAAUCCAAAACCACUGUUACAAGAGUUUCCAUGAUAGACUCUUCCUCUGCAGUAGGAUCUGCCAAGAUGUAGUUCUUGUGAAGAAUGCAUGUUAAUGAGAAUGGCAGGCUUCUCAGCGUGAGCUUCCUCUUCUCCUUAUUGACUGGCUCCUUAUCCAACUUUCCUCCCUCACCUUCCUCAGACACAACUACUAUCUUUCCAUCAUCAUUCAGGGAAACUAUGGGGAUUUGCAAAUGGGAGAAGGCAGCCACUGCUGAAAGCAAUGCAGCAUCAAAAAGAGCACCAUCAGCAUCCAAACAGUAUAUGUCAAGGUAUGCCAUCCACGCCGCUUUUCCACUGACCAAAGAUAGUUCCUUUAAAUUAAUCAUGCCAGAACUGCGACAAUCCAAAAAAUAAUUGUUAACAGUGAAUGAAAUUGAUCAAGUGAAGGAAGAAUCCAGUAAAAUUAAUAGGGCUGUUAAGCAACCCAAAGUAUCUAAGACAUAACGCUUAGGUGUGUUAUCUCAAUAUCUAAAUGUUUCUUCAAGUCUAGCCAAACUUUAUUCAAACUCCCCAAAAGGAAUUUUUUGAAGAUAUGGUCGAGCCUAUAGUUGCUAGAUCCAUGGAUUUAUCAUGUAUCACAGCCACCAGUCUUUAGGACAUCUACAAAAUCAAGAUUUUACAUCAAAAAAGCAAUAGCAUAGGAAAAAGUCUUCACUCCUCACCAAAGUUGUAUACCUCAGCCACCAAUGAAUUUAUUACAGAUGACAACAUUAUAUAUACAUGCAUUCACCAAUACAUAAUGCCUCAUAAAUAUACCACUCCUGCCAACGAAUUACAUGAAGAUAUCAUUACCUUGAUAGAAAAUAAUAGUUCAUAUUCAUGAGUUACAUUGCCAUAAUCAUCAGUUAAGGAGCUUUACACAUGCCUAGAUUCUUACUGGAGAAAGAGAACUAGUGAAACGGGUAAGUGAAACGGGUAAUGGUAUUUUUAGUCUUUUGUUUUUCAGUAUUACAUAUUACAGGCUACAGUCUUGAGCACAUGAGAGUCUGACUUUGCAAGCAAGAAGAUUACAGGUUCAAAUACUAAGAACCAGCAUUUCACGCAAAAGCAUUUACAAGUAGGAUUAUCUAGAGUUCUGGACAAUGAUUAUAGCAAUGACCUUUUCUUAAGUCUUUCUAUUCAUAUUAUUUCACCACCUACAUACAAUUAUGACGCCAUCCCUAUAUAACUAAAAAUCUCGACAUUAUACAAAAAUUGACACAACAUGAAGCUCAAAUAGAACAUCUCACACCACACAAUACACAAGUAUUGAGAGAAAAACUCUGUAGAUUUUAUUAAUCAAAUCUCAAAAUCUGAAAAUACAUAGAAUAU